AAACAAACAGGGAAGGGGAGGAGGCGGGAGCACAAAGUUCAUGGGGGACAGACCAGGGUGGGUGGGAGGGGUAGGGAUCUUAGGAGGACAGGACGAAGGCUGACGACGGGGGGUACGGGCAGGUCUGGGUGGUGAGGGGUGGGGAGGGGUCUCGGGACAACUGACAGAGGACAUGACAGGAGCAGACACGGGACGCGGGGCAACACUUACGGGACGCGGGGAGACGACAGCUGGACACGGGGAGACAACAGGACACGGGGCAACACUCACGGGACACGGGGAGACGACAUCUACGGGACACGGGGAGACGACGGCUGGACACUCGGGAUUUCUGGGGACUGGGUCAGGGGACAAGACAGGACUGACGGGGACUUCUAGGAUCUGGACAAGACGAGACAAAUAAUCUGAGAAGGCUUUAGCAGCUAGGAUAACUGGCAUCUCCUUACGAGAUGAGACAGACUGUACUAGAGUCUUUGCUGCAGAGUCGGCCGCGGCUCUCUCCUCCGCUCUCACGACUGCAGACUUGCAUACAGCUCUCUUCUUUGCCGGCUCGGGCACGCCAGCGCUCACCGCUGCUGGCUCGGGCACGCUCACCGCUGCUGGCUCGGGCACGCUCACCGCUGCUGGCUCGGGCACGCUCUCCGCUGCUGGCUCGGGCACGCUCACCGCUGCUGGCACGGGCACGCCAGCGCUCACCGCUGCUGGCUCGGGCACGCUCACCGCUGCUGGCUCGGGCACGCUCACCGCUGCUGGCUCGGGCACGCUCACCGCUGCUGGCUCGGGCACGCUCACCGCUGCUGGCACGGGCACGCCAGCGCUCUCCGCUGCUGGCACGGGAGGAGACAGGGUCACAGGACCGGCAGGCCCCUUCUUCUUCCUCUUCCUCCUUGGGCGCGGUGCAGAGGCCACAGCUGGGUCAGAGGCGGGUUGGGGGAGUUUGGUCUCGGGCAGGGCAGACUCGGACGCCGAAGACUCUGAAGCUGACUCCCACGACAACCGUCUCCCUCGCUUGUUGGGGAGACUGAAGGUAGUGGGAGGUGCCUCAGGAUUUUGGGAGGGACUUGCCUGAUCCCCCAGGGUUGCCACGGCCAGGACACGACCCUCUGGGAUCGUUGGCAGCUGGGUAGGUGGAGGGGACCUCUGUGGCUCCUCCUGGGAGAUGCUCUCCCACAGCCGGGCAUAAUUUUGGAGGAUCCAUUCCCCCUCAGGCGAGUAUGGGAGGGUGACCCCCUUCCUGUCGGUGGGGGACGACAUCCAACAUUGACGACGGAACUCCAACAGGUGUUGGAGCUCGGGGGACCUCCUGCCUGCUGAGUUCCUUUUUGGUCGGUUCAUUCUGUCACGGGUUGGCAAGGGAGGAACUCAGGUGCAGACAGGAAGUAACUAAACACAGGAUUUAUUUAACAAAAAGGGAAAACAAAAACCCACGGGGGGGAAAACAAGGGCUAGGGUAGACACUAAAUAAUUCUACAAAACACAAUAAACAAGGUAAACAAAGACUCUGAACACUAACUACUAACAAACACUCACUGC
ensembl:lncRNA